rnacentral:rRNA from 1 species
AACGAACGCUGGCGGCAUGCCUAACACAUGCAAGUCGAACGAGACCUUCGGGUCUAGUGGCGCACGGGUGCGUAACGCGUGGGAACCUGCCCUUAGGUUCGGAAUAACUCCCCGAAAGGGGUGCUAAUACCGGAUAAUGUCUUCGGACCAAAGAUUUAUCGCCUUUGGAUGGGCCCGCGUUGGAUUAGCUAGUUGGUAGGGUAAAAGCCUACCAAGGCGACGAUCCAUAGCUGGUCUGAGAGGAUGAUCAGCCACACUGGGACUGAGACACGGCCCAGACUCCUACGGGAGGCAGCAGUGGGGAAUAGUGGACAAUGGGCGAAAGCCUGAUCCAGCAAUGCCGGGUGAGUGAUGAAGGCAUUAGGGUUGUAAAGCUCUUUUACCCGGGAUGAUAAUGACAGUACCGGGAGAAUAAGCGCCGGCUAACUCCGUG